AUUUUGUGGCCAAGCUAUUAAGGGCAAAUGGUGGAUGCCUUGGCACCAAGAGGCGAUGAAAGACGUGGCUAGCUGCGAUAAGCUUCGGGGAGUUGCUAAACAAACUUUGAUCCGGAGAUUUCUGAAUGGGGAAACCCGUAUCGGGUAGUGCCGAUACAUCUACAACUGAAUACAUAGGUUGUAGAGGCGAACGCAGGGAACUGAAACAUCUUAGUACCUGCAGGAAAAGAAAACAAUAGUGAUUCUCCUAGUAGCGGCGAGCGAACGGGGAACAGCCCAAACCGAAUAUGUGUCAAGCCCGAAAGCGUUGCAUAUUCGGGGUCGUGGGGUUCAAUUGGACGGAGUUUCGGAUCCGUCGGGAAGUUACAAAACUGAUUUAUAGCUGAAUGCGCUGGGAAGCGGAACCAUAGACGGUGAAAGUCCGGUAAGCGAAAUGAAUCAGACUUCCUGGAUUGAAUUCCCAAGUACCGCGGGACACGAGAAACCCUGUGGGAAUUUGGGAGGACCAUCUCCUAAGGCUAAACACUACUUGGUGACCGAUAGUGAACUAGUACCGUGAGGGAAAGGUGAAAAGUACUCCGGUGAGGAGAGUGAAAUAGUACCUGAAACCGUUUGCCUACAAGCAGUGGGAGGGCUAUGAGUAUCGCUGCGGCGUUAUUCAGCCUGACCGCGUGCCUUUUGCAUAAUGAGUCAGCGAGUUAUUCUGCGUAGCGAGGUUAAGCCGUUAGGUGUAGCCGGAGCGAAAGCAAGUCUGAAUAGGGCGAAUUAGUUGCGUGGAGUAGACCCGAAACCAAGUGAUCUAUCCAUGGCCAGGGUGAAGCGCAAGUAAAAUUGCGUGAAGGCCCGAACCGUUGUAGGUUGAAAACUACUCGGAUGAGCUGUGGAUAGGGGUGAAAGGCCAAACAAACUUGGAAAUAGCUGGUUCUCCCCGAAAUAUAUUUAGGUAUAGCCUCGCAAGUUAAGUAACGGGGGUAGAGCACUGGAUGGGCUAGGGGUCUUACCAGAUUACCAAACCUAACUAAACUCCGAAUACCGUUAACUUCUAUUGCGGGAGUCAGACUGCGGGAGCUAAGUUUCGUGGUCGAGAGGGAAACAGCCCAGAUCGCCAGCUAAGGUCCCUAAAUAUGUGCUAAGUGGGAAAGGAUGUGGAAAUGCCCAGACAACCAGGAGGUUGGCUUAGAAGCAGCCACCCUUUAAAGAAAGCGUAACAGCUCACUGGUCGAGUGAGUCUGCGCCGAAGAUGUAACGGGGCUUAAGCACAUUACCGAAGCUGCGGGUUCUUUUUCGUUUCGACGGAAAAGUCCGGUAGGGGAGCAUUCUGUUCGGGUUGAAGGUCGAUCGUGAGAACGGCUGGACAGGACAGAAGAGACCAUGCUGACAUGAGUAACGAUAAAGCGGGUGAAAAACCCGCUCGCCGAAAGCCUAAGGUUUCCUGAGUAAAGCUAAUCUUCUCAGGGUUAGUCGAUCCCUAAGCCGAGGCCGAAAGGCGUAGGUAAUGGAAAACAGGUUAAUAUUCCUGUACCACCCGAUUAUCAAUGCCCCUUCGGGGGCGGGAGUGAUGGGGGGACGCAGAAGGGUAGGUCAUCCACCUGUUGGAUUAGGUGGUUCAAGCCGGUAGGCCGAAAGGACAGGCAAAUCCGUCCUUUCAUUUAAAGGCCGAGACGCGAUGAGGAUCCCGCUUGCGGGAACAAACUGAUUGAUCCCAUACUGCCAAGAAAAGCCUCUAGCAAGAUAGUCAGGUGAUCGUACCUCAAACCAACACAGGUAGGCGAGGAGAGAAUCCUAAGGCGCUUGAGAGAACCCUGGUUAAGGAACUCGGCAAAAUAACACCGUAACUUCGGGAGAAGGUGUGCCCUCGUUAGGUGAAGCAACUUGCUUGCUGAGCUGAAGGGGGUCGCAGAGAAAUGGCGGUAGCGACUGUUUACUAAAAACAUAGGACUCUGCUAAGUCGCAAGACGAUGUAUAGGGUCUGACGCCUGCCCGGUGCCGGAAGG
rnacentral:rRNA from 3 species